ACCCCGGUAGCUCAAUGGAUAGAGCGAUGCUCUCCUAAAGCAUAGGUUGUGCGUUCGAAUCGCACCCGGGGUA
rnacentral:tRNA from 1 species